UACGGGGGGGGCAAGCGUUGUUCGGAAUUACUGGGCGUAAAGGGCUCGUAGGUGGCCAACUAAGUCAGACGUGAAAUCCCUCGGCUUAACCGGGGAACUGCAUCUGAUACUGGAUGGCUUGAGUUUGGGAGAGGGACGCGGAAUUCCAGGUGUAGCGGUGAAAUGCGUAGAUAUCCGGAGGAACACCGGUGGCGAAGGCGGCUUCCUGGACCGACAGCUGACGCUGAGGCGCGAAAGCUAGGGGAGCAAACGGG
rnacentral:rRNA from 1 species